rnacentral:lncRNA from 1 species
AUACCCAGAUCCCAGACACUGAUGAGUCGCACUGCAGCCUGACAUAUACUAAGGAAACUGGCGCCGCAGCACCAAUACUAGACAAGAGGCAGAGAAGAAUGAUAAUGAAUACAAUGAAAAAGGAAGUUCAUUGAAGGUGAAUUAUGACCUUAAUUAAACUUAAAGUAACAUCAUAAAGGAUGAUUAAAACCUUAAGUUUAACUAUUAAAAGUCAAUAAAAGGUUACAAAAAUGUAAACACAAAGUAAGUUUGAUAAUACGAAAACUGUACACACGUUGAAUGAAUGUUUGAGUUUAC